rnacentral:lncRNA from 1 species
GGUAAUAUAGAUGCAAAUUUAAGGGGUUACUUUAAGCUUUUUAAGUAAUAGUGGUAGGCAAUUCAGUUGCAAAUUAGGGGGUUAUUUUAAAUAUUGUUUAUAAUGGCAUAAGUGGGUAAUUUUGAUGAAGAUUAGGGGGUUACUUUAGUUUAUUUUAUAUAAUGGCAGAGGUGGGUAAUUUAUAUAUAAAUUCAGGAGGUUACUUUAGGCUAUUUUCAUAAUGGCAUAGGUGGGUAAUUUUUUAGAAAACAUAAUAGAUCCAAUGGUUUUUUUGUGAAUCUAUGGAUUGAUCGGAUGUUUUGUUUUUUUUGAUAAUUUGUAGAAUUUCUCUUUUUCUAAAGUGCCCACCUAGGAAUCCUAGGUGGCUUCACCUGGAGGCUACAAAAGAAGCCUCCAAUUAGUAAUAGUAAGAUGGCAUGCUGCCCACCUUCGUGCACACACUAUGCUCCUUCAUCAUUGUUGCCAUGUCC